rnacentral:rRNA from 1 species
GAUGAACGCUGGCGGCGUGCCUAAUACAUGCAAGUCGAGCGAACAGACGAGGAGCUUGCUCCUCUGACGUUAGCGGCGGACGGGUGAGUAACACGUGGAUAACCUACCUAUAAGACUGGGAUAACUUCGGGAAACCGGAGCUACUACCGGAUAAUAUAUUGAACCGCAUGGUUCAAUAGUGAAAGACGGUUUUGCUGUCACUUAUAGAUGGAUCCGCGCCGCAUUCGCUAGUUGGUAAGGUAACGGCUUACCAAGGCAACGAUGCGUAGCCGACCUGAGAGGGUGAUCGGCCACACUGGAACUGAGACACGGUCCAGACUCCUACGGGAGGCAGCAGUAGGGAAUCUUCCGCAAUGGGCGAAAGCCUGACGGAGCAACGCCGCGUGAGUGAUGAAGGUCUUCGGAUCGUAAAACUCUGUUAUUAGGGAAGAACAAAUGUGUAAGUAACUAUGCACGUCUUGACGGUACCUAAUCAGAAAGCCACGGCUAACUACGUG